rnacentral:rRNA from 1 species
UACGUAGGGGGCAAGCGUUGUCCGGAAUCAUUGGGCGUAAAGAGCGUGUAGGCGGUCCGGUAAGUCGGCUGUGAAAGUCCAGGGCUCAACCCUGGGAUGCCGGUCGAUACUGCCGGACUAGAGUUCGGAAGAGGCGAGUGGAAUUCCCGGUGUAGCGGUGAAAUGCGCAGAUAUCGGGAGGAACACCUAUGGCGAAGGCAGCUCGCUGGGACGUUACUGACGCUGAGGCGCGACAGCGUGGGGAGCAAACAGG